rnacentral:rRNA from 1 species
GAUGAACGCUAGCGGCAGGCCUAAUACAUGCAAGACGAACGGUAAGAUUGAUAGCAAUAUUGAUCCUAGAGUGUCGUACGGGUGCGUAACACGUAUGCAACCUACCUUGUACAGGAGUAUAGCUCGGGGAAACUCGAAUUAACCCUCCAUAAUAUAGUGGUGUGGCAUCACACUACUAUUAAAACUACGGUGGUACAAGA